UGUGUCCAAAGUGUGUGCUGUCUU
rnacentral:piRNA from 1 species